rnacentral:tRNA from 2 species
GCCCCGGUGGCGGAAUUGGUAGACGCACAGGACUUAAAAUCCUGCGGCCUUUUUGGCCGUGCCAGUUCAAGUCUGGCCCGGGGCACCA